rnacentral:rRNA from 1 species
CUAAACGUCCGUAGCCGGUUUGGUACAUUCGUGGGUAAAUCAACCAGCUUAACUGGUUGAAUUCUGCGAAGACUGCCAGACUUGGGACCGGGAGAGGUGUGGGGUACUCUCAGGGUAGGGGUAAAAUCCUGUCAUCCUGAGAGGACCACCUGUUGCGAAGGCGCCACACUGGAACGGAUCCGACGGUCAGGGACGAAGCCUAGGGGCACGAACCGGAUUAGAUACCCGGGUAGUCCUAGGUGUAAACGCUGUGGACUUGGUGUUGGGGAUCCUCCGAGGGUCCUCAGUGCCGAAGCGAAGGUGUUAAGUCCACUGCCUGGGGAGUACGGUCGCAAGGCUGAAACUUAAAGGAAUUGGCGGGGGAGCACA